UACAGAGGGUGCAAGCGUUAAUCGGAAUUACUGGGCGUAAAGGGCGCGUAGGCGGUUCUAUAAGUUGGUUGUGAGAUCCCCGGGCUUAACCUGGGAACUGCAGUCGAGACUGUCUAGCUAGAGUAUGGGAGAGGGAAGUGGAAUUUCAGGUGUAGCGGUGAAAUGCGUAGAUAUCUGAAGGAACAUCAGUGGCGAAAGCGACUUCCUGGACCAAUACUGACGCUCAUGUGCGAAAGCGUGGGGAGCAAACAGG
rnacentral:rRNA from 1 species